rnacentral:rRNA from 1 species
GACGAACCGUGCGAACGUUGUUCGGAAUCACUGGGCUUAAAGGGCGCGUAGGCGGGUCAGCAAGUCCGGGGUGAAAUCUUUCGGCUCAACCGGAAAAGUGCCUCGGAUACUGCUGGUCUUGAGGGAGGUAGGGGUUUGUGGAACUUCUGGUGGAGCGGUGAAAUGCGUUGAUAUCAGAAGGAACGCCGGUGGCGAAAGCGACGAACUGGACCUCUUCUGACGCUGAGGCGCGAAAAGCUAGGGGAGCAAACGGG